rnacentral:rRNA from 1 species
GAUGAACGCUGGCGGCGUGCCUAAUACAUGCAAGUCGAGCGAACAGACGAGGAGCUUGCUCCUCUGACGUUAGCGGCGGACGGGUGAGUAACACGUGGAUAACCUACCUAUAAGACUGGGAUAACUUCGGGAAACCGGAGCUAAUACCGGAUAACAUGUUGAACCGCAUGGUUCAACAGUGAAAGACGGUCUUGCUGUCACUUAUAGAUGGAUCCGCGCCGCAUUAGCUAGUUGGUAAGGUAACGGCUUACCAAGGCAACGAUGCGUAGCCGACCUGAGAGGGUGAUCGGCCACACUGGAACUGAGACACGGUCCAGACGACUACGGGAGGCAGCAGUAGGGAAUCUGACGCAAUGGGCGAAAGCCUGACGGAGCAACGCCGCGUGAGUGAAGAAGGUCUUCGGAGCGGAAAACUCGGUUAUGAGGGAAGAACAAAUGUGUAAGUAACUAUGCACGUCUUGACGGUACCUAAUCAGAAAGCCACGGCUAACUACGUG